AUGGGCAUCGACCUCGGGACGGCGUGGUCGUGCGUCGGCGUGUACCGGCAGGGCCGCGUGGAGAUCGUAACCAACGAACACGGCGGCCGGACAACGCCGUCAUACGUCGCGUUUACCGACACGGAGAGGCUCGUCGGUGACGCGGCCAGGUACCAGGCCGCCCGGAACCCCGCCAACACCAUCUUCGGUACCAAGCGAUUGAUGGGAAGGAGAUUCAGCGACGCGUCCGUGCAGGCCGACACGACGCUGUGGCCGUUCAAGGUCAUCGCCGGCCGCGGCGACAAGCCAAUGAUCGCGGCGAGCUACAAGUGCAAGCCGAAGCUAGUUGCCGCUGAGGAGAUCGGGUCGAUGCUGCUCGCGAAGAUGAAGGGGGACGCCGAGGCCUACCUCGGCGCCCGAGUCACGGACGUCGUGGUCACGGUCCCCGUGUCCUUCGACAUUCUACAGCGUCGCGCUACCAUGGACGCCUUCGCCGUCGCGGGGCUGAACGUCAUCGGCGUCGUCCACGAGCCCGUGGCCGCGGCCAUCGCCUAUGGCCUCCACGAAAGCACGGAGGCGAAAAACGUGCUCGUAUACCUUGGAGGUGGUACCACCAGCGUGGCGCUCCUCGCGGUUGCGGCUCGCAAGAUCACGGUCCUGGGAACCGCCGGUGAACCCCAUCUCGGCGGCGAGGAUUUCGACAGCCGCAUGGUCGAGCACUUGAUCGAUCAGUUCAAGACAGGGCACAAUAAGGAUGUCAGUGGCAGCGCGAGAGCUCUGGUGAGGCUGAGGGCAGCCUGCGAGCACGCGAAGAGGACGCUCUCCUCGGCGAACUGGGCUGCCAUCGAGAUCGACUGUUUGCUCGACGGCAUCGACUUCCGCACGGCCAUCACCCGCGACCAGUUCGAGGACCUCAACUUAGACCUGUUCUGCAAGUGCUUGGACCCCAUCAAAAAGUGCCUCAGCGACGCAAAGAUCCGGAGGAGCGACGUGCACGACGUCGUCCUCGUUGGCGGGUCCACUCGAAUCCCGCGUGUGCGGCGUAUGCUUCAGGACUUGUUCGAUGGGAAAGAGCUCUGCCCAGACAUCAAUCCCGAGGAGGCGGUGGCCCACGGAGCUGCCAUCCUCGGCGCCAUGGCCAGCCGCGUGCCCGCUGGUGAUUUGCUGGACCUGUUCCUGCUGGACACCACGCCGCACUCGCUCGGCGUCGAAGAGUCCGGAGAUGGCAUCAUGACUGUGAUCGUCCCAAAGAACACUACAAUUCCCAUCAGGAGGGAGCAGAUUAUUUCCCUCCAGUCCCAUCACAAGAAAAGUAUCGUCAUCUCGGUGUUUCAAGGGGAGAAUGCCACUGCACGGGAGAACAGGUUGCUCGGAGAGCUGAAGCUUUCGGGUGUCCAUCAUGGUGAUGGACCGCACACCGGAGCCAAGCGCCAGAUUUCAGUGUGCUUCGACAUCGACGCCGACGGUGUCCUGACAGUCUACGCGACAGACAAGGCGACCAAGCGUAGGCACCAGAUGAAGUUCAUGGACAAAGGGCAGCUAAGCAGGGAGAAGAUCGCGAGGAUGGCCGAGGAGGCAGCGGAGUACAUGGCAGAAGACGCGGAGAAGAGGGAGAGGGCGGAAGCAAAGAAUCUGCUCGAAGAAUACUUGUACCAGAUGCGCCGUGAAAUCGAGGUUGAGAGGAAGAAGGUGGACGAUGCGAUGUCUGCCGUCGAACUGAUGAUUCAGCAGGUGCUCGACGACCAGGUUUCCAGCGCCCGAAAGUUCCUAGACGAUUUGGAGGGGCUUAAGAAGUCAGCGAAGCAUACAAAUUGUUGGAGAGCAGGGUCAUGCAUAAUGUUCAUCUUUGGCCGUGUACAAUGCUAG
rnacentral:rRNA from 1 species